rnacentral:lncRNA from 1 species
GUUGUUCAUAGGCAUGAGGUGAACACGCGCAUUUUCCAGCCAGGAGAACGUUCCGCUCAGCACGCACACCUGGAGACAGCCCAGCCCUGAGCAGGAAAUGCCUGCUGGGCUUGAAGAGGGCUUCCUGGGGUGUGAUGGAUGAUUGGGUUCUUUUUAAAGAAUAGGAGGCCCCAGUCAGCUUUCCAAGUCCCACACACAGGAGGUCGGGGGGACAGGCCCCUGGCCAGCUCCCAUCCUGCUGUGGUCCCAGCACCCCCAGACCUCCCGGCAGCUGACCCAGACUCUUGGGACCUGGCACCCUCAUCCCUGGAGGUCAACACUCCAAUGUCCGCUGGGCGUCUGACCUGGAGGACAGGGCUCCAAGGCACAGCCCAUGGCUGAGAGUGAAGAAACGGCGCCCUCAUGGCGGACCCUCCACCAAGCGGCCAGUGAACGAAGUGUGUUUGUACGGGAGGGCUUCCAGCCGCCGCGACCCCCACCAUCGAGAAACCAUCCUCUGGGCCCACCGCAGAACUCACUGUGCCCACAGCGGGGCUCUCUGGGGAGGGUCCUCGGAGCACAGUGGCGAGUGGACGGCACCCUGACCAUCCCGGGCAGGCUUUCCAAACUCGGCUGGUGGACAGCUUCCCUGCUGGGUCCCUGAAGUGAGGCCAGGUCACCCACAAGCCAGGAGCAUUGGCCGCACCCUGGCAGCCCUUGGCAUCCUCUCUCAUUGGGGCGUCACGUUGUCCCAGGGAGCCAGGCUGGUGACACUGGGGUCUGGAAAGAGGGGCCUAGCCCUGUCACACACACUGUCAGCCCUCCAAGGUGGCACGGGGACGGCGAGGCCGACAGCUGCUUGUGCGGAACUGGGCUGGUCCCAUCGGCUCUGGAAUCAGACCCCCUGAGGCUUGGAAAUAAGAUGGACCGGGGUCAGGCGAUGCUCAGUUGAAGGCAGACACCGCUCCCCACUUUGCUCCACAAGCACAAGCUCUUCCCAGCCAAGGCACAGCAGGGCAGGGGCCGCCAGGCACAGUGAAGGGGGCCAGGGCCUGCAGUCCCCCAUCCAGAGCUGGGCAGGGAGCCAUGCAGGCUGCGAGGUGGGGUGGCUGCUGCAGCUCCCAAGGGGUCUGGUGUGGACUAGAGGGCGAGUGGAGAACCUGGGACCUCUGCAGGGCGCACAGCCAUUUCCACACACAGCCCACUUCAGACCACUUGCUGCGGUGGUCACUGGUGGUCAGCCCAUAGCAAAGCGUCUGGCCCUGUGCCCCCACCCUGCCAGCACCAGGCUGGACAGUCCCCAGCGGCUGCACGGUGGCCUGGGCAGCUGUGAUGGGAGAGGCCCCCACAGACGAGGCCCCAAGUCGGCUCCUGGCUCUGCCCUGGACCGGCUCUGGGUUCUCGAGAGGCUGGCCCAGCCCUGCGCUGCUCUGAGCCAUGCGGACCCCGUGGGGAGGACCCCAUACUGCAGAUCCCUCACCGGUAGCCCCCACUCCAGGCCAGACUGAAACACCGCGGUGGGCUCCUGGAGCACCCCCCACGCCCGGGGCUGGCUGGCCUGGGAGGAGGGGACACAAGAACUUGGGACGGCAGUUCUCAAAAUGCAGUCUGGGGACCGCAGAGGUUCCUGAGAUGCUCUGGGGGGUCUGUGAGGCCAAACUUAUUUUGAUGAUGAAACUGACACAUUAUCCGUCUUUCUCAUUCUCGCUCUCACGAAUGUUCCAAGUACAAAACCCACGAUGCAGUUUCAGAUCUCACGUCCCAACAGACCUUUAAGACAGGACCACUUGUUGUGUUUGGGGAUCGAAUCGAAGCUUAUCCACAGUUAUCUGAGAGGACUGCCGAGGCACUCCUCCCUCCAAGUGCGCGGUGAGGCCAGACUUUCCACAGAUUUGCCCAAAACCCCAUUGCAGUGGCUUGAACACAGAAGCAGCUCCGAGAACCAGCUGUCUCCCGUGAAGCCAGACACCGAACAGACUGGAAAAGGGAAAAACAGUGCAUAUUCCUCACAGAUCUUCCGUUCGGGAAACGAUAAUUUAAUUGUUUUAAUUAAAAACAUAAUAUGUGAAAAUGUAGUGGGUUUAUCCUUGUUAAUGUGAAACGGAUCGAUACAUCAGUAUUUUUGGAUUUCUGUUUUAAUUUCUGAUAUAAUCAAUGUUGAUAGACAUAACUUGUGCAAACAAAGCUCUUCACGGUCUCCCAAGAUCUGUGGGUGUGGGGUGGGAUCGUGAGACCACAGUGUGGGGAGCAGGUCCCUCGGUCACCGUCCAGGCUCGGCAGCCCCUCGGCACGGGGCAUCCGCGUCCAGAGUCCUACAAGAAGGAGCCUCAGAGAACAGAGCCCCUGGCGCCCCAGCGUGAGAAGCUUCCAAUGCUUUCUCAGCAUCUUUUUCCAGAUAAAAAUGCCAGCCCUUCCUCUCCAAAGAUCUGAACCGCCUAGGGUUUUCUUGGCCUGGCAUCACGCCUUCCCUCAUCCGGCACCAACCCUUCCCUCCCGUCUCUAUGGUUUCUCCCGCUCUUUAUCCUCACAGCCCUGUGGAAAGACAUGGUCUGUGUGCCUGGAAAACGAUGCAAGGCCGUGGUGCCUGUGACGUCCUCAGACUCACACCCCAAUGCGGGGGACUGAACGUUUGUGUUCUCCCCAGUUCACAGGUUGAAGGCCUUGCCCCCAGUGCAGCUGUGUCUGGACACUGGGCCUCUGGGAAGUGAUGAUGGUUAAAUGAUGUCAGGAGGAUGGAGCCCGGGUCGGCUACGGCUGUGGCCCCAGUGACGCCGGUGUACUCAGGCGCCUGCCAGCUGGGAAGAGGCCUCACCAAGCCCAGCCCUGCAGCACCUUGGCCUUGGCCUUCCAGCCUCCGGAUGCGAGAGGAUAAAUGUCUCCUGCUGAAGCCGCCAGGUCUGUGUUCUCCUUGUGGCUGCAGCAGCCGCACUAAGACACUGGCCACACCUGGUUUCUCCACAGCCGCUGCAGCCACGAGGAGAAGGCCACCCUCUCGCGUUCAAACACAGGUGCACCCACCGUGGAACCACAGCCACAGUGGAGCUGUGGAAUGUGCCCGUCACCCACAGCCCGCCUCUGAGUCACUGCCGUCACCCACAGCCCUGCCCCGACCCACAGCCUGCGUCUCAGUCACUGCCCAUCACCCACAGCCCUGCAUCUCAGUCACUGCCCGUCACCCACAGCCCUGCCUCUCAGUCCCUGCCGUCACCCACAGCCCUGCCUCUCAGUCACUGCCCGUCACCCACAGCCCUGCCUCUCAGUCACUGCCCGUCACCCACAGCCCUGCCUCUCAGUCACUGCCCGUCACCCACAGCCCUGCCUCUCAGUCCCUGCCGUCACCCACAGCCCUGCCUCUCAGUCACUGCCCGUCACCCACAGCCCUGCCUCUCAGUCCCUGCCGUCACCCUGGCUGCUCCUGGAGUUGCACAGAAAUGGAAUUGUGUGCUUGGAUGCCUCCGUGCCCAGCCCCUGUCCCUCCGCGAUUCCUCCUUGCUGCUUUGCGGAGCAGUUGUUGGCCGCUCACAGCUGGGCAGGGCCCGUCCUGGCAACAGACCCCUCCUGCUGCGGUGGUUCCCUCGGUGGUGGACGGGGCUGUCGGCACAUUUUAGCUGUCACCAAUAAAGCUGCUGUGAACAUCCCUGUACACGUCGUUGUGUGGAAUGAGUUUGGUGUGUCUUAGGGAACUCCUUGGGAGUGGAAUGCCUGAGUCACCAGUUAUUCACUUUCACUGCCAGAAUAUGCGAUGGGCUCUCGGGUAUGCAGUGUGCCAGUCAGCCCCACCCUGACACAGCGGAGCAGAGAGAGACGGUCCUGACGGAGCAGGCCAGGGAUCAGCACCGCCCACUGGGCCUCUGACCCCUCUGACCCAUGACCUCCAAGCCCUGCGGUCAGUCUGUGCCCAGGCCCAGUCUGUGCUGGAGCCCUCCCUGCAGCCCCCUCUGGCAGGACUUCAGAGGGAUCCCCAGCUCCUGGCCCACAUGGCCGCAUCUGGCCCAAACACACAUUCCUUUCGCCACUCUCCUCUGAAUGGAAUCUGGCUUGCCCCGCACAGCCUCUGCCUCCCUCUGCCCCGCACAGCACCCUCCCUCCCUCUGCCCCGCAUAGACCCUCCCUCCCUCUGCCCCGCACAGCCCCCCUCCCUCCCUCUGCCCCGCACAGCCCCCCUCCCUCCCUCUGCCCCGCACAGCCCCCCUCCCUCCCUCUGCCCCGCAUAGACCCUGCCUCCCUCUGCCCUGCACAGCCCCCUCCCUCCCUCUGCCCUGCACAGCCCCUCCCUCCCUCCACCUCACACAGGCCCCCUCCCUCCCUCUGCCCCACGCAGACCGCCUGCCUCCCUCUGCCCCGCACAGGGAUCCUGCAGGUUCAGGGUGGAGUGGCCUAGCCCAAGCCCUCAGCCUUUCCUUGUGAGUCUGGGUGACUUCUGAAGGGGCUGAGAACCGCUUAGUGGUCUGGACCCUCCCUUGGGGGCUUAUGAGCCAUCACACCUCGGUCCUGCCAUGGAGACCUCCGGCUGACAUCUCCUCAGAGCCUCCCUGGUGUCCAGAGCCCCAGCAGGCAGUGCUAAGCCGGCCACACUGAAGGCCAGGAGGCAGCGCACGGGGACGCUGGAGGAGCACCUGGUGAGCUGGGAGGCGAGGCCCUGGGACGGGACAAGUAGCAGACGUCUCAGCGCACACAGGCUCCUGCCGGACCCGGAGGGGCUCUCUGUUCCAUGUGGUCCUCCAGGGAUUCGGGCUCCUUGGCCCUGAGGGCUCUGCCCACCUAGCACCUUGGGGCUGUUCCUUGAACCCCCUGCCCCCUAGGGUGGGGACAGGAAUACGUAUUACUUAGGGAUAAAUCUAAGAAAAUAGGCCAGGCGUGGUGGCUCACACCUGUAAUCCCAGCACUUUGGGAGGUCGAGGUGGGUGGAUUGCCUGAGCCCAAGAGUUUAAGACUGGCCUGGGCAACAUGGUGAAACUCCCGUGUAGACCGUCUCUACAAAAAGUACAAAAAUUAGCAGCUGGGCGUGGUGGGAGCUGGGCCGAGGGUCAGGCCUGGAGGUGGUGCCCAUCACUGGGUCCCGCUCAAGAGAGAAGAGGCUGGGAAGCCAGGUGCAGCUGUGUGCCCACAGGCGGGUGAGACAGGACUGGGCCUGGAUCCCGCACCCGCUCGCCGCGCAGCUCAGCGCAAGCGGCCUCCGGGGGCCUCCUCUCUGCAAGGGGAGCGCGCGCCCGGCCCUGACCCUGCCUGCUGAUUCUCUGGAAGGUUCAUGUCCGGGACUCCUCGGUGACCCUGGGCAGAGCCACCCACAUGCGCUGCCUCCCCUCCCACCGCCUGACAGGUCUGGAGAUGCCCAGAGACUUCUGGCAUCCACCAGCAGCGAGGAGCGUCCCUCCCGCAAGGCUUGGCCUUUCCCCUCCAGCUUUGGCACAGGACGCGUUGGUCUGCCGUUUCUUUUGUGCACAACCAUCAGUCAUGAUGUCAGCCCUGAGCUGGGGCCACAGAACCCUGAGCAAAGUGGGACAUAAUGGAAAGCAAACAAAAAAGAAAGAAAAUGAUGGUUUCAAACUAAAAACCUGAGUUCACAUAGCGAUAGAUUUAAAACUAUUUUAGAAAACACUCAUUAUCUCCCUGGCCUAUUUUUUAUUAAAUUGACCAAAUCUGUGGAUACUCAAUUGCUUGUGAUGACUGCAAGCGCGCAUCCGAGUCCCCAGGGAGGCAGCUUCCCUUCGCUCUUCGCCAGCGCCCCUCAGUCCUAACUUUGAGGAGGGCACACGUGAGAUUUCCUUUUACCAACAGAGAAUCUCCAAAUCCAGCCUUUUACCAGAAGCCUCUCCGAGAAACUGGGGUGAGUAAAUCGCCGCUGCUGCUGCCACCUUCAGAGAGGCCUUGGGCGCCCGCCCCGACAGCCCCACACGGUCCCGGAACUCGGGCCAGGCAACGCCCUCUCCUCCGUGCGGGGCUUAGUCAUCGCCGUGCCGCUUGGCAGUGGUCUGUGGCCCCCUCAAAAUGUUUCCAUUUAUGGAGAGAACGUGGCCUUCCAGAUUUGCUGGCACAGAUGGGAAAGCUCAAGCGCUCGGGCGGCCUCAGGGUUUCUCUCAAGGGCAGCAGAGGUCAGGGCCUGCAGGCUGGAUGGAAGCUCCCCGCCCGGCCCGGGGGUCUCUGUGCUGCUGCGCUCCCGCCCGGCUCCUUCACAAACCUCCACCAAGUGUGGGACGUGGGCGUGGGGGGGUGGGCGGUGCCCACCCUGAUGGGCACUGUGGUCGUCCACUGGUUCUGUUUGUUUAAAGUCUGGGCCUGAAGGCCUGCAUGUCUCACCACACAGGACCCUCCCUGCCCGUGACGGGUGGCAGAUGGGGUGUAGGCAGCCCCCGUGCUGCCCCUUCCCCAACCCGGGGGUGCACUUGUGUCGGGGCUGGGGUGGCCGUAGUGGCCCUAGAUGUCUGCAGCUGGUGGGCAAAGGCAACACACCCUAAACCCACACCUGGCCCUCGGGCCCACCACGGUGCACGCACCCAGCAGCUGAAACUGCCUGGCUCCCCCAGCGUCUCUCCCAGGACCACAGCCCCCCAGCGACCGCUCAGCACUUCUGUGGCUUCGGCGGCAGCGCCCGCGGCUUCCUGUCACUCUCCCAGCUGGCUGAAGGCACAGACCCUCAGCUUCCACAACCCACAACUCCGGGAGGGGAUUCCCAACCACAGACAGGGGUCUUUCCCCCGCAGGAAACCUCCCACCCUUCUUCAGGCUGUCAGUGAAACGGCAGCCACUUUUCAAAAUAACAGUUUCUCCCUUUACGUGACAUUAAAGAGGAAAGCACUCUGCCUUCACCUCAGUUCCGUCGCCCACACGACAAUCUCUAGGGGGCUGGGGCUGUGAGUCCCCACCACGCAGGUGCCCAG